GCCUCGGUGGUGUAGUGGACUAAUACUCACGUUGAAUGAAGAAUAUAAAAAAUAUGGCAGCUUUUAGUUGCCCAUUGUAGUCUAUGCAUAUGGCCCUGUCGAGGCCAUGACCCGGGUUCGAAUCCCGGCCGAGGCG
rnacentral:tRNA from 1 species